GUGGGGAAUAUUGGACAAUGGGGGCAACCCUGAUCCAGCCAUGCCGCGUGAGUGAUGAAGGCCUUCGGGUUGUAAAGCUCUUUUGGUGGGGACGAUGAUGACGGUACCCACAGAAUAAGCUCCGGCUAACUUCGUGCCAGCAGCCGCGGUAAUACGAAGGGAGCUAGCGUUGUUCGGAAUUACUGGGCGUAAAGGGCGCGUAGGCGGUCAGGCAAGUCAGGUGUGAAAGCCCUGGGCUCAACCCGGGAAUUGCGCUUGAUACUACUUGGCUUGAAUUCGGGAGAGGUUGGUGGAAUUCCCAGUGUAGAGGUGAAAUUCGUAGAGAUUGGGAAGAACACCCGUGGCGAAGGCGGCCAACUGGACCGACAUUGACGCUGAGGCGCGAAAGCGUGGGGAGCAAACAGGAUUAGAAACCCUUGUAGUCC
rnacentral:rRNA from 1 species